rnacentral:rRNA from 1 species
UACGGAGGGAGCUAGCGUUGUUCGGAAUUACUGGGCGUAAAGCGCACGUAGGCGGUUUUUCAAGUCAGGGGUGAAAGCCCGGAGCUCAACUCCGGAACUGCCUCUGAAACUGGAUGACUUGAAUCUUGGAGAGGUCAGUGGAAUUCCGAGUGUAGAGGUGAAAUUCGUAGAUAUUCGGAAGAACACCAGUGGCGAAGGCGACUGACUGGACAAGUAUUGACGCUGAGGUGCGAAAGCGUGGGGAGCAAACAGG